rfam:Lentinula edodes NBRC 111202 DNA, contig: scaffold178.
GGGGGUAUAGCUCAGCUGGGAGAGCAGCAGACUGAAGUUCUGAAGGUCCCGCGUUCGAUCCGCGGUACCCCCA